AUACGAAGGGGGCUAGCGUUGUUCGGAAUUACUGGGCGUAAAGCGCACGUAGGCGGACAUUUAAGUCAGGGGUGAAAUCCCGGGGCUCAACCCCGGAACCGCCUUUGAUACUGGGUGUCUUGAGUGUGGAAGAGGUGAGUGGAAUUCCGAGUGUAGAGGUGAAAUUCGUAGAUAUUCGGAGGAACACCAGUGGCGAAGGCGGCUCACUGGUCCACAACUGACGCUGAGGUGCGAAAGCGUGGGGAGCAAACAG
rnacentral:rRNA from 1 species